GAUGAACGCUGGCGGCGUGCCUAACACAUGCAAGUCGAGCGUGAACCCUGCGAAUGAAACUUCGGUCGAUUUUGCAGGGGGAAAGCGGCGGACGGGUGAGUAACGCGUAGGUAACCUGCCCCAUACUGAGGGAUAGCCUCGGGAAACCGGGAUUAAUACCUCAUAACACCGUAUAUUCGCAUGGAUGUGCGGUCAAAGAUUUAUCGGUAUGGGAUGGGCCUGCGUCUGAUUAGCUGGUUGGUGGGGUAACGGCCUACCAAGGCGACGAUCAGUAGCCGACCUGAGAGGGUGAUCGGCCACAUUGGAACUGAGACACGGUCCAAACUCCUACGGGAGGCAGCAGUGGGGAAUAUUGCACAAUGGGCGAAAGCCUGAUGCAGCAACGCCGCGUGAGCGAAGAAGGCCUUUGGGUCGUAAAGCUCUGUCGGGUAGGAAGAUAAUGACGGUACUACCCGAGGAAGCCCCGGCUAACUACGUGCCAGCAGCCGCGGUAAAG
rnacentral:rRNA from 1 species